UUACUAGCUUCAUCAUUACCAUAGUUGGACCAGUGAAAACAGGACCAUAGAUUAAUUUGAGCAGACCUAUAUUUUGGUUGUUUCUGUUACUUUCCUCUUUUGCUUUCCAUAGUCAAACCAUUUCUGCACUGGUAUAGACAGGAUGGAAGACACUUGCUGGAGAGGAGAAAGCCAUUCGAUUUGGGAUUAUUAGAGUGAAACCUGUCAACCCCACCGAAGAACAGUUUUAUCUGGACAUUGCAGAGGAUAUCCUAUAUGAAUGGAAGAACAUGGAUCUGAUGCUUGGCAGCAGCAGCAGCACCGUCCUGAUGAUAAGGGCAAGCAAAGACAACUGUAGAGACACUGGUGCCGGUGACAUUAAGUCCUCCGUGUCCGGUCAGUGACUGCUACUUCCAGAGGCCUUGCUUGUAAGAAAGACAAGCACUUAAUUCUAUAAAUCACAUGUGUUUCCUAUAACUUACAGGUGGAAAAACCCUCUUAAAGAAUGCAGAUGCCCAAGGAGAGGAAACCUUUUAUGCAUACCUUGUCAUUUAUCGGCAUUGAUGACUGGCUUGCUGAGAGGCAGUUUUCAUUGAGCAAUCACUGAGAGGAACCAUCGUCUGCCCAGAGAAAGCAGUAGAAGAGAUCCAGAGCUACUACCUCUUAGUGGCACUGAUCCACAGGGCUCUGGGUUGAUUUGGAAUGAGCUGUGACUCCUGAAGAAUUCUCAUAGAUUCCUGCCUGGGCGGGAGUGGGAGGCAGGAUAAUGUCCAUACCCAUGUUCUAAUCCCUGGACCUGUUAAUAUAUCACAUUACAUGGCCAAGGGGAAUUAAGGUAGCAGAGGAAUUAAGGUAGCUAAUUAGCUAGCUUGAUGAUAGGGA
rnacentral:lncRNA from 1 species